rnacentral:lncRNA from 1 species
GCAAGCCCUCCACUUCACUCCCCCCAUCUCACCUGGCCUCACGCCACUCAAAAUAGCCAUGGCCUCCAUCCAAACCGCGGUCGACCUCCCAAGCGCCGCCCAUAUUUCCGGCCACACCCAUUCUUCAAAUCAUCCACCAAAUAUCUCCACUCCCCUAGCCGACGACUCUUAUGGAGUAUUAUCAACUAAUUCAGCCAAGAUUCUCAAUGUUCAGAACGCAGGUACUUUCCAGACGGGAUUGUGUGAUAAUGCUGAUUCAAUUGGUGAUCCUCAUGUCUUGCAAGUGGAUAAUUCAACACCCAAUUAUUCAAUUGAGGGUGAAUUGGGACAAUUGAAACCAAAAACAUGUGCUAAG